GAUGAACGCUGGCGGCGUGCCUAAUACAUGCCAGUCGAGCGAACAGACGAGGAGCUUGCUCCUCUGACGUUAGCGGCGGACGGGUGAGUAACACGUGGAUAACCUACCUAUAAGACUGGGAUAACUUCGGGAAACCGGAGCUAAUACCGGAUAAUAUAUUGAACCGCAUGGUUCAAUAGUGAAAGACGGUUUUGCUGUCACUUAUAGAUGGAUCCGCGCCGCAUUAGCUAGUUGGUAAGGUAACGGCUUACCAAGGCAACGAUGCGUAGCCGACCUGAGAGGGUGAUCGGCCACACUGGAACUGAGACACGGUCCAGACUCCCACGGGAGGCAGCAGUAGGGAAUCUUCCGCAAUGGGCGAAAGCCUGACGGAGCAACGCCGCGUGAGUGAUGAAGGUCUUCGGAUCGUAAAACUCUGUUAUUAGGGAAGAACAAAUGUGUAAGUAACUAUGCACGUCUUGACGGUACCUAAUCAGAAAGCCACGGCUAACUACGUG
rnacentral:rRNA from 1 species